AGAAUGUCUUAUAAUUGGAAUUGUUGUCACAGACUCGAGAUCUGAUUGGUUACCGCCUGGCGACACAAGCCUGGUGUAAUAUGAUUGGAUAAAAACUUUACAAUAAUAUACAACAGUCGGAGCGGCGAAACCGAGCGGAUAUAAUAUGACACGAAGAAAACAGACCAUGGAGAAUCAUUUAUGACCUCUCUACAAACAAAAUCUGAGCAUGUUUAGGUUAGCAGAGAACGUUUUGCUGCGUCUGAUGGCCGCCACUGCGUCCGAGUUUGCGUUGCCACGCACGUCCGUGCACGUGCGUCAAAACCAUGGUAACCAGCGCUGAGUUAAUAAAAGGAGCGCAGCUAUGUGAUUUUACACAUUUGCCUCUGGUCUUGGAGACAUUGGCAGCAACACAAAAAUCUGCGACCGUAUUAAUUUGUUUUGCUGGAGCAAUGGAGCGCCACUUGCCCCCGAGGAUCUGGCAGCUCUGGAGAAGGUUCAGACGGUGGAGCCGCCUAGGCAGACAGCGGUGGCAGCCGGAGGGGGAAGUUGCUGUGCACGGUCCACCUAGACUUCCUCCACCUAGACGUCGGAGACCUCGUUGUGACCCACCCACUUCCCACGUUCAGGAAGUUGGUCCCCCCACCUCUGACAUUGAGGUACCCCGCUCUGACCUGCCUUCUUACUUACAUGUUCCACCACGCUGGGGACACACACCACUUCCUCUUUAUUCAGAUCUUUUUCCUUCUUAUCCUCCUCCACGCUCUCCCUGUUCCUCCUUCUUCUAUUCCUUCCACACCCCCUCCUCCCUAUUCUCCUGUUCCUUCUUGCUCUUGUGCUCCUCCUCAUUCUCCUCCACGCUCUCCUGUUCCUUCUUCUAUUCCUUCCACACCCCCUCCUCCCUAUUCUCCUCCACGCUCUCCUGUUCCUUCUUCUCUUCCUUCCACACCCCCUCCUCCCUAUUCUCCUCCACGCUCUCCUGUUCCUUCUUCUGUUCCUUCCACACCCCUCCUCCCUAUUCUCCUCCACGCUCUCCUGUUCCUUCUUCUGUUCCUUCCACACCUCCUCCUCCCUAUUCUCCUGUUCCUUCUUGCUCUUGUGCUCCUCCUCAUUCUCCUCCACGCUCUCCUGUUCCUCCUUCUUCUGUUCCUUCCACACCCCCUCCUCCCUAUUCUCCUCCACGCUCUCCUGUUCCUUCUUCUGUUCCUUCCACACCCCCUCCUCCCUAUUCUCCUCCACGCUCUCCUGUUCCUUCUUCUGUUCCUUCCACACCCCCUCCUCCCUAUUCUCCUCCACGCUCUCCUGUUCCUUCUUCGUUCCUUCCACACCCCUCCUCCCUAUUCUCCUCCACGCUCUCCUGUUCCUUCUUCUGUUCCUUCCACACCCCCUCCUCCCUAUUCUCCUCCACGCUCUCCUGUUCCUUCUUCUGUUCCUUCCACACCCCCUCUUCCCUAUUCUCCUCCACGCUCUCCUGUUCCUUCUUCUGUUCCUUCCACACCCCCUCCUCCUUAUUCUCCUGUUCCCUCUUGCUCUCCUGCUCCUCCUCUUUCUCCUCCAUGCUCUUCUGCUCUUUCUCCUUCUGUUUCACCUUCACCCCCUCCUCCUUCUCUUCUGGUUCCACCUAUUGUGGCUCCUUCUGAGCUGCCGUGUGUUCCCGAUGCUGGCCUUUUCCUGUCUCCUGUUAUUCAGGACUCAGGCUCCAUAGUGGAAGGGACCAGCGAGGCCUUAGCGGUUGGGGAGAACAACGAGGCUCCUAGCAGCAGCAGCAGCACAUCUGCUAGAGGUAGGAAGGACAGUGAUGGGGAGGGGGCUGCUCCCAAAAGACCAUGUUUUACUGUGAGACACUGUGUCACACAGUAAACUUGGUCUUUCCCUUUGUUGGAUGGCAACAGCCACCUCUUCAUUCACGGAUAACUGGCUUCUGUUUCUGACAGGACCAGUUUAUCCUACUGUCUUCUUUUUUUCUUUCCUGAUUUCUUUCUUCAUAAUUUUAAAUAUUCAUCCAAACCCUGAGAACUAGCCUUUGCGUCUGGCUGGGCA
ensembl:lncRNA